UACGUAGGGUGCAAGCGUUGUCCGGAAUUAUUGGGCGUAAAGAGCUCGUAGGCGGUUUGUCGCGUCUGCUGUGAAAACCCGAGGCUCAACCUCGGGCCUGCAGUGGGUACGGGCAGACUAGAGUGCGGUAGGGGAGACUGGAAUUCCUGGUGUAGCGGUGAAAUGCGCAGAUAUCAGGAGGAACACCGGUGGGCGGAAGGCGGG
rnacentral:rRNA from 1 species